rnacentral:misc_RNA from 1 species
GAUGAAGAACGUAGUGAAAUGCGAUAAGUAAUGUGAAUUGCAGAAUUCAGUGAAUCAUCGAAUCUUUGAACGCACAUUGCGCCCCUUGGUAUUCCGGGGGGCAUGCCUGUUCGAGCGUCAUUAUCACCCCUCAAGCUCAGCUUGGUGUUGGGGCCUGCCCGUCACAGGGCAGCCCUUAAAAGCAGUGGCGGUGCCAUCUGGCUCUACGCGUAGUAAUACUUCUCGCGACAGAGUCCCGGUGGUGUCCUGCCAGAACCCCCCAUAUUUUUAAUGAUUGACCUCGGAUCAGGUAGGGAUACCCGCUGAACUUAAGCAUAUCAAUAAGCGGAGGA